CAGCCACCGUCGUCCACCCCACACCAUCCCAGUUGCCUCUCUAUGCACAACAGUCAUCGCCCUUGCCAUUGGAGGAUUGGGGUGCCUCCUCAUUCCUCGGAUGCGCUACCGGUGGCCUCCAUGAGCUGCUACCUAAGGGGGCCAUCGCCGCGGCCGGGGGAGUGGCUGCCGCUGCCGCCGCUGGUAUGGGAGGGGCCACUGCCGCUUGAGCCCUCACAAGGGCGAACCGUAUUGCCGCAAGGAGUAGAGACGUUCGCUCUGGCAUGGAUCACCUUGGGAGACUGAUGUGGCUAGCCGGAUCUAGUCCAUCCAUGGCAAGAUCUAGAGUAGCCCCGACUAGCGGCACAAGCAUGGGCAUGGUAGCUAUGCGCACAUCACGACUGGUGGACGCAUGGGGUUUGGUGUCUGCGGCCACACCAUGCGAUGGCUGGAUUUUUCGAGCUAGAUGGAGAAGGCAAAAUGUGUGUUUGAGAAGCUCAAAGGUAUAGUUUUCUAUCUUUGGCUGUGUUGGCAAGGCCGUGCACUACUGUGCCAUAUGUCCUGUUCGUAGGAAGCACCAACUGUAAGUUCUGCAAGGCCAUUGAUUGCGAUAUCACUUGCUUCGAAUGAACGUCAAAUUUGUUUUGGCCAGAACAAAAUCAAUCGAUAAUGAUUGGUUCCUUUUUGUUCUUAUAUUGCUUUUGGUUCAUUCAAAAAAUUUAAUGAAAGCACUAUAUUCCUAGAACAAUAUGCCUAUUAUUUUGCCUGUAUAAAAUUAAAAUAAGGUAAACUGCUCAAUUAGCUUUUGUUAUCAGCUUUUCUUUUCUACUGCCCGAUACAUAUGUUUGAUUAUGUAAUACACACCAUAAAGGUUACCUACAUGUGAGCUGCUACUCUACAAGUAGUAUAGCACAUUUGGUUGUCAGUGGUUAGUAUUUGUUCACUUGUGCAUUUAGAAUAUCAGAUCGGCUUUAUGUGAGUGCUGCUCUACAAGUAGUCUAACUUUUUAUUUUAAUUUCAGGAAAAUCCAAGGAACUUGAUUAUGCCGUCUACAUGUGCUGGUUGAAGAGACAGAACAAUCCUGCUAGUGUUUUAUAGCAAUAGUUGUUAAUAAAAUAGCACAAUGUAUUUGGUAUUAUUGAAAUUUUUGGUAUUAUUGAAAUACGAUGGCAUAUGCUAAUUAUGUAUUUGACUAUUCAU